rnacentral:rRNA from 1 species
UACGUAGGGUGCAAGCGUUAAUCGGAAUUACUGGGCGUAAAGCGUGCGCAGGCGGUUUUGUAAGACUGUCGUGAAAUCCCCGGGCUUAACCUGGGAACUGCAUUUGUGACUGCAUUGCUGGAGUGCGGCAGAGGGGGAUGGAAUUCCGCGUGUAGCAGUGAAAUGCGUAGAUAUGCGGAGGAACACCGAUGGCGAAGGCAAUCCCCUGGGCCUGCACUGACGCUCAUGCACGAAAGCGUGGGGAGCAAACAGG